AGGGGGGCGCGGCCCGGGCCUGCAGCCCCGGGAGGAGCCGCGGUGAGAGCGGCGAGCGGGGCGGAGCCGCCCGGGCUUCGUAGGCCCACAAGGGAGAGGCCGUCCCGAAGGACGCGCGGCGCGACGGCUGCCUCCGGCUCUCUGCAAGAGGACGGUGUCCAGGAGGAUUCCAGGCCAGAGUGCCCCGGCGUGUCCCCGUGGGAGGGGACAUCCACAGAGGCCUCUGCGUCUCAAUUCAGAGACCCCUGGUGGCUGGACGGAGCCUCCACCCCCACCUCCAGCCUUGAGAGAGGGAAGGAAUUGGAAGGGCGUGGAUGGGAUAAGGACUCGGUGUUCGGAGACCCAAGCGCUCCACCGUGCCCACUAAGCGUUCCCGUUGGAAACAGGGGACAGAGGUGGUCAUAAGGGUCCCAUCCUCUUGCAAGGCCAGCAAUCAUCUCGGUUCCUGGGGACUUUCUGUCGAACCGCCUGGACUAUAAAAGACAAACCAGAGGCUUCUCCAAGUGGGGCCGGGCUUCAGAAAGCCCUUCUGCAAGGAGCCAAAUAUUUCAGAUGGCUAAGGGAGUGGCCUGGCCUCAGUCUGCUCAACUAAAUCACCAGUUCCAAGACAGCAGGGAAUAAUAAAGAUAAAAAUAAUAUAAUAACAACAGCCAACAUGUAUUGAAGGCUUAUUUAUGUACCAGGCAUUGUGCUAAGCACUUUACAGGCUUUAUCUAAUUUGUUCCCCGUAAGACCCCUACGGGGAAGUUACAGCUGAUAGCCCCAUUUUACAGCUGAGGAAAACAGGCUUAAUAAGGAUAGCUAGCACGGAGUGAGGGCUCGCUGCAUGCCAGGCCCUGUGCUGACUUCUCUCCAUACAGUGUCAAUGACCCUAUAAGGUUAGUACGAGUAUUAGUGCCAUUUAACAGAAGAGGAAACGGAGGCUCAGAGAGGUCCAGUAACUUGUUCAAAGUCACACAGCCAGUAAGCAGAACUUGGCCAGGAAUUCAAGUCUGUCUGACAGCAAAGCUUUCGAUCCUAAUCCCUAGGAUUAGGGAUUUUCUUGACUCCUUUCUCUGUGUUUCUCCAACUCCGGUAGCCCCACAGCACAUAACCACCGCCCCUCCCCCCCAAGCCUACUCCAGUGUUAUUGGACAUAUAGUAGGGUCCGGGGGGACAGAAAAGCCAGGGAGAGUGGCCAGAUCACGCGACAUAGUUCAACUUUCCUUCUCUGCCCAGCUCUUUGCUUUUUCCUCUGUCACUUCCUGCCGCUGCUGAGCUGUACCCUUGCAGCCAGUGCGCUCACUUCACUGUCCCCCAACCCCCAUGCCCAGCCCCGUUCUGAGGUUUCAUUGUGGACAGGCAAAACGCCCCUUUAGGCUCCCAGAGCACAAAGACAUUGUGCUUGGCUCUGCAGCUCCUCACU